ensembl:snoRNA
ACAUGGGGAUAUGCUAAUGGCGGGCCCUUCUCUGUGGGCCUCUCAUUGUGGACCCAUGCCAGAGGAGUGGGCAGCCCCGAACCAUUGCCCAACCUCCUCACUGGUGGGCUGUGAGCGCUGAAGGGGGCUGUCCAGUG